CCCUUAGAUGUUCUGGGCCGCACGCGCGCUACACUGAAGCUAUCAACACGUUUUCCCUCCCUGUGAAGGGCGGGUAACCUUUUGAAUCAGCUUCGUGGUAGGGAUCGGGGCUUGCAAUUGUUCCCCGUGAACCAGGAAUUCCUAGUAGACGCGAGUCAUAAGCUCGCAUCGAUUAAGUCCCUGCCCUUUGUACACACCGCCCGUCGCUACUACCGAUUGAACGUUUUAGUGAGGCAUUUGGACCGACGCAUCUCAGUUUAACCGCUGGUUUGUGUUGGAAAGACUUCCAAACUUGAGCGUUUAGAGGAAGUAAAAGUCGUAACA
rnacentral:rRNA from 1 species